rnacentral:misc_RNA from 1 species
GGUUUUAUCGAUCCCAUCAAUAUGGGUAUCAAAUGAAAGUGCUCAACCAGUAUAAUCAAUGUACUAUAUAAAAUUAAAAUCCAAGAUGGCGGCCUCUACAAAAUGGCGGAUAACUUAGGUUUUAUCGAUCCCAUCAAUAUGGGUAUCAAAUGAAAGUGCUCAACCAGUAUAAUCAAUGUACUAUAUAAAAUUAAAAUCCAAGAUGGCGGCCUCUACAA